UACGUAGGUCCCGAGCGUUAUCCGGAUUUACUGGGUGUAAAGGGAGCGCAGGCGGCACGGCAAGCCUGAUGUGAAAGCCCGCGGCCCAACCGCGGGACUGCAUUGGGAACUACCGGGCUGGAGUGCCGGAGAGGUAGGCGGAAUUCCUAGUGUAGUGGUGAAAUGCGUAGAUAUUAGGAGGAACACCAGUGGCGAAGGCGGCCUACUGGACGGUGACUGACGCUGAGGCUCGAAAGCGUGGGGAGCAAACAGG
rnacentral:rRNA from 1 species